GACGAACGCUGGCGGCGUGCCUAAUACAUGCAAGUAGGACGCAGUUGCGAACGUGUGAGUAACGCGUAGGUAACUACCUAUUAGAGGGGGAUAACUAUUGGAAACGAUAGCUAAUACCGCAUACUAGUAGAUGGACCUGCGUUGUAUUAGCUAGUAGGUAGGGUAAUGGCCUACCUAGGCAACGAUACAUAGCCGAGCCGGAGAGGAGAACGGCCAAAAUGGGACCGGGACACGGGCCAGAAUCCCACGGGGAGGAACAGGAGGGAAAUAUCGGAAAUGGGGGGAAACCCGAACGAGCAAAGGCGCGGGAGUGAAGAAGGUUUUCGGAGCGGAAAGCUCUGUUGUUAAGGAAGCGGUACUUAAACAGAAAGCGACGGCUAACUACGUGCCAGCAGCCGCGGUAAUUC
rnacentral:rRNA from 1 species